CAAAUUGAUUUUCUUGAACAUAUAUACAACUUUGAUGUUGAAGGUUUUGUCAUUUGAGGCUUGUAUCAUUGAAAUAGAAGGGCUUGAAGUUGGUCAUUUUUGGCAAAAUUUUCAAAUACAUGUUUUGUACCUUGAACUUCAUGGCUAGUUUUCAAUAUUUUCCAAACUCCAAAUGGAUUUUUGUUCAACAUAGCCUUUGUUCCUUAUUUCAAUACCUUUCCGACCAUUACUCACAUGCCUAUGUUUCAAUUUUC
rnacentral:lncRNA from 1 species